CCGCUCAGAGGCAAACGGGUGUAGUCAAGCCUUCGAGUUGUGGCAAAUAGGCGGACCAGAAUGGCGUGAGCUUGAGCACAUAUGAGCUGGUUGUAGGUGCGUCGAAAGGCGUAUUCGGCCCGCAAGGGUUGGAUGUGUGGAGUGUCAUACGAUGCCGCAUGCCUAUAAUUAGUGUGUUCUGCUGGUUCGAUGAUUUUGCCAUAGCGUAUGUCACGACCGUCGCAGCUGUCGGUCUGCUUCGUCUAAACCGUAGCGUGAGUUGCCUUGUGUAUCUUGCGUUGCGGGGGCAGGUAGCUAGCUUGGUUUCGGCCGGGUUAGUGUAAUCGCCGGGCGGAGUGGUAUCUGUGCAGUACGGCGGGGAUGGCGGUGCGUGGUCCUGGGCGUGCUAAAGUAUAUUGGCAUGGCUUGAGUCCGAUUCCAUGUUGCUAUCAAUGAUGGCCUUGGAGUGGCUCUGCUGUGGUUGAUGUGCGGCAGCGGCCGGGGCACCUUGCGCGUUGAGCCUAUAGU
rnacentral:rRNA from 1 species